rnacentral:rRNA from 1 species
GACGAACGCUGGCGGCGUGCUUAACACAUGCAAGUCGAACGAUGAAGCGCCAGCUUGCCGGUGUGGAUUAGAGGCGAACGGGUGAGUAUCACGUGUGUAACCUGCACCCUACUCUGGGAUAAGCCUGCGAAACUGGGUCUCUUAUUGGAUAUGAUCAAUCACUGCAUGGUGUGCUGGUGGAAAGAUUGUUUGGUGGGGGAUGGACGCGCGGCUAAUCAGCUUGUUGGUGGGGUAAUGGCGUACCAAGGCGACGACGGGUAGCCGACCUGAGAGGGGGACCGGCCACAAGGGUACUAAGGCACGGCCCAGACUCCAACCGGAGGCAGCAGGGGGGAAUAUUACACAAUGAGCGAAAGCCUGAUGCAGCGGCGCCGCGUGAGGGAUGACGGCCUUCGGGGUGUAAACCUCUUUCUCCAGAGACGAAGCUAACGUGACGGUACCUAGAGAAGAAGCAACGGCUAACUACGUG